ACCUAAUAUUUCCCCCUAUCCCCCCGCCGCACUCCAUCUUCCCCGAGCCCUAAUCUCCCCUACGUCGAACUCCUUCUUUCCUCUUCCUCGCGUUGCCCCACAUCCACUACCACCAGCAACAUUCGAGCCACCGUCAGCUAGGCUCCCUCUUCUCUCGAUUUUGUCGACUGUCCUCAGCCUCGACUCGCGCCUCUGCACCUGAUCAUCUUGGCGCUACUCAUCCUGGCGUCGGUCAAGCCUUUAUCUCCUCUCUUCCCCGCCACCUCAACCAAACCCAUCGUCGUGCCCUAAGCUCGGCCGACCGGCGCCGCCGCGCCAGAGAUUUCCACAGUGAACAUCGCCACCAGUCGUGAGUCUUCCGUAGCUACCCUUCACCGCCGGCGCAUCAUCCCGUGGGCUAAAGCUCCUGUCGGCGACACUAAAUGGAUAAAGGACAUUGAUUGAGAGGGUUGAAGUGACGGGGCGUGAUUUGGUUCAGACUACCUAGUAAAGGCUGGUAGCAGGUAGAUGAUUCAUGGAUGCUUGGAGAGUCCUGGCUGCCAGUCCCACGUCACACUCGAGGACAGUUUUCCUUUUCGGUUUUAUUACUGUUUGGGAGGUAUAUUGAUUUUGCGUAUUUGCUUUCUAAUAAGUUGAUUUGGGUUUGGAGUUUAGUCUUGUGGUUGCGGGUAUUUUGGUUAAUGACUUUGUUGGUCUUUCAUUCAUAUAUUUGUGUUUUCUGCUAUGUUUACUUCCAGCUGUGUGGGUUGUUAUUAAAUUGCAUGGUUGUGUUUUCAUUUUGUCCAGCCAUGUAGGAUGAGAAUAUUAAACUGUGUGGUUGUAUUUUCAUUUUGUCCAGCCGAGUAGGCUGAGUAUAUUAACUGUGUGGUUGUGCUUA